rnacentral:rRNA from 1 species
CCUACGGGAGGCAGCAGUGAGGAAUAUUGGUCAAUGGGCGGAAGCCUGAACCAGCCAAGUAGCGUGCAGGAUGACGGCCCUACGGGUUGUAAACUGCUUUUAUACGGGAAUAACGCGCCUUACGUGUAGGGCUUUGCAUGUACCGUAUGAAUAAGGACCGGCUAAUUCCGUGCCAGCAGCCGCGGUAAUACGGAAGGUCCGGGCGUUAUCCGGAUUUCAUGGGGUUAAAGGGAGCGUAGGCCGCAUGUCAAGCGUGCUGUGAAAUGGCCGGGCUCAACCCGGGCCUUGCAGCGCAAACUGGCGUGCUGGAGUCCGCGGAAGGCAGGCGGAAUUCGUGGUGUAGCGGUGAAAUGCUUAGAUAUGACGAAGAACCCCGAUUGCGAAGGCAGCUUGCUGCAGCGGAACUGACGCUGAUGCUCGAAAGCGCGGGUAUCGAACAGGAUUAGAUACCCCUGUAGUC